GAUGAGGAGAAGAGGUACUUUUAAGUUGGGAAAGAAAAGGGCUUAUACUAGCUGAUUCAGCACAGUAGUGAAGCAACACCAGGACCCACAUUUUGAAGGAAGACUACAAAAUGAAUUACAGUAAAAUAAUCAUAGUUUUACCUAAGAAAACAAAGGGUCCAGUCUGAAACCCUUUAGCCGAGCCUUGGUCAAAUACAUGGUGCAUAUGCCCAAACCUGUCAAGCUACUCUGGGGCCAAGCCAUGAUGAUUAAAUCCUUCCAGGAUGCAGGCAACAGACUGUGAGCAUUGUAUGUCCCUGGAGAAUAUCUGAAGCUGUGGU